rnacentral:lncRNA from 1 species
UCGAGGCUAACCACUCUUAAAUGCUAUAUGUUUGGUGGAAAAGCGGCAAAUACCAAUUUUAUAAUCUUUGGUUUGAACUAACCUGCCAUACAAUUAUUUAGUCAAUAUGAGUCAUUAAAAACAAGAUGAAAAGAGCAUUUAUUUAUUUUCAGUAUCUGGAAUGGAAUUUGAAAUGUCCUCAUCCUGCCUCUUGUUUUUUUCGUUCCUCCCUCCACCUUCACGUCUUUCAGGGGCAUAUUUAAGGAACCUGGACAUUUCACUCUUCAUCAUGGUUUCGGUUGCGUCAACCAACCCAGGAAAGGACUCUGAGACACAUUCUGUUUGUAAAAAAAAACAGUAACAAUUAAAUCACAGAAGUAAAUAAACAGCUGCGCCACGAGCGCAUGAUACGCCCGUCGUCUAACUC